CUGGCUGGCCUUGAACUCACAGAGAUCUGCCUUUCUCUGCCUCCCCAGUGCUGGGAUUAAAGGGAUGUGACACCACCGCCUGGAUGAAUCUUUCCUUCUGGAACUGUGAUUCUCUUCAGCAUUUUGUGGCAGUACGGAAGACUGGACACACAGGCUCUGAGGCUAGCUCAGGUAUCUAAUCUUGAGUAACGUCCAUCAUCUUACACUACUCUAGAAGAAGCCUCCCCAGCUGUGUUCAGAAGAUGCCAGGCUCCAUCCUGCUUCUCCACUGCCAUCUUUUCCUGCUGUGGCCCUGUGACCUGUGGCAAGCCACUCCUUUCUCACAGAUGCUGCUACCAGUGUAAAAAAUGCCUCUCCUUUAAAUAAGAAACUGGCUUCUCUUUCACAUCCAAAUAUGGCCAAGAACGUGGGUUCUGGUUAUCACAGUGAUCUGCUUUGCCUUUAUAUGAACUUUUAUAGCCAUGGAACUAAGAAAAUCUGGCAAUUCUGUCUCUUAUCUGUGAUGAAACCCUUCCCUCUACCAUGGAGCUGCCUUGAUGGUGGUUUCUUUACUGAGCCCCAGCUUACCAUUUCCACCAGUAACUUUUUCCCUUCUCUUUGUACAAAUGGGUUUUUUUAGGUGGGCCCGGCCCUUGAACCUGGGCCCUGGUAUGAAAAGACACUUGGAGUAGGGUAAUAGCCAGCCACUGGCAAGCAAUGUGAGCAUAAAGAACACUCAGCCAUCUUCAUACACUCGGGAGUCUUCUAAGACUUGGAGGUUACGGCAGCAUAGUCUCACACAAACUAACCAGGUGCCAGGGGUGGCAGACUCAGUGCCAAUAGAGAAUCAAAGUAGAUAGGAAGGCACGCAUGCAUAAAAGCAUGAAUGUUAGGGCUGCUACAGACUGGAAGACUCAGUCAAAUGGCAGGCUCCAGCAUUAAGCUGUACUAUGGUUGGUUUAGAUAAGUAGUAGAGGAUGUGGGUUUCUUUUUAAAUUAUUUCUUUUUAUUUUUUAAACAUUCAUCUAUUUAUUGAGAGGGUGACAGGGAAUGUGUGUGCUAUGGCACACAUGUGAAGGUCAAAAGACAACUUGCUGGAGUCAGUUCUCUUCUUCCAUCAUGUGGAUUCUAGGGACCAAGUCGGGUCAUCAGGCUCAAUGGCAAGGGUCUUUAUUACCCGCGGAGCCAUCUCGCCAGCCCAGAGGUGGUGGUUUUAGUAACAUAACUGACUAAUGGUUACCAGCCAAAAA